AUAUCAGUCAUGCAUAGCAUAUCAAUAAGCGGAGGAAAAGAAACUAACAAGGAUUCCCUUAGUAACGGCGAGUGAAGCGGGAAGAGCUCAAAUUUGAAAUCUUUCAAGGUUUUACCUUGACGAAUUGUAGUUUAAAGAAGUGUUUUCUGUUGAAGUUUUGGUAAAAGUUCUUUGGAAUAGGACAUCAUAGAGGGUGAGAAUCCCGUAUUUGACCAUUACUUUCAGCUUUGUGAUACACUUUCAAAGAGUCGGAUUGUUUGGGAAUGCAGUCCAAAAUGGGUGGUAAAUUUCAUCUAAAGCUAAAUAUUGGCGAGAGACCGAUAGCGAACAAGUACCGUGAGGGAAAGAUGAAAAGAACUUUGAAAAGAGAGUUAAACAGUACGUGAAAUUGUCAAAAGGGAAGCGUUUGACACCAGUGUUGUUUUCUCGAAAAUCAAUUAAAAAGAGUUGGAUUUUGUGUUGUAUUGACUUUAUCAGCUUUCUUCACUCUUUUCCAGCUUUUUUUAAUGCACUUUUCGUUUAACAAGUCAACAUCAGUUUCUUUUGUUGUAAAAAGGUCAUUGGAAGGUGGCUUUCUCUUCGGAGAAAGUGUUUAUAGCCUUUGACUCAUGCAAUCGGAGAGACUGAGGUCUGCAGCGUAGAUCCUUCGGGGUUAGAUACAUUUGUGCUAAGUUAUAGCUUUUCAUAGACAACUUGUUGACUAUGUUUAGUCUUGUAGCUUACUCGCUUAUGCUAUUUUACCUACGCUUAGGAUGUUGAACUCUAUCACCACAG
rnacentral:rRNA from 1 species